UGGAGUGCUGUGCCCAGUGCUGGGCUCCCCAGCACAUGAGAGACAUGGACCUGCUGCACUGAGUCCUGCAAAAGGCCACAAAGGUGAUUCAGGGCCAUAUAAGCAGAGGCUGAGAGUUGGGCUUAUUCAGCCUGGAGAAGAGAAGGCUGAAGGGGACCUUAUCAGUGUUUAUAAAUAUCUGACUGGAGGGAAGAGGGGAGUAAGUAAGAUGGGCCAGACCCUUCUCGGUGGUGGUGCCCAGUGACACCACCAGAGGCAACGACCAUAAACAGAAAUAUAGGAAAUUCUGUGUGAACGAAAGAAAUAACUUUUUUACUGUUCAGUGGUCAAACACUGGAGCAGCUUGCCCAGAGAGGAUGUGGAAUCUCCGUCCUUGGAGAUAUUAAAAACUUGACUGGAUGCAGCCCUGAGCAGACUCCUUUAGUUGCCCCUGCUUUGACUGGGUAUCGGACCAGAUGGUCCCCAAAAAUGCUCAACCGUUCUGUGAUUCUGUGGGGUGGGCACACCUGUGCAUUUAUACAUCUGUGAACACACAGGCACCAGCAUCUUGCUCCCAUUGCUUCUUCUCUCCUCUGAUGGUGUUUAAGCCCUUUCGAACAGCAGCCCAUGGAAGGGGAUGGGUGGACAGAUUGUCUAUUAAAACAGGAUCAAGGCCAUAAGAAUAACAGCAUGAGAACAACGCGAGAACAACUGACAACAGAGGAAAACAGCUGUCCCAGAAGAGCUGGAAAACACUCUUAUGGCAGCUUAGGAGGAAAGAACAUUGUACCUUGACAAGUACUGCGGUUUCCCAUCUCUGUCAAUGGGUUCAGCAAGUGACUCAGAGUGACACAUAAAUGAACAGUCAGCACCACUCCCUGCAGUGUCUGGCCAUUCAGAGAACCCUCACCACCCAUACAUCUUUGUGGUUUGAGAAGUCUGACAAGAUUGCCAUCAAAAGUGGAAAAUUCGGGAAAGCCCAACUCUGUUUUGACAUCAGCCACUGGUUUAAAAUGCCAAAGCACAGAGAAAGCAAAACCACGAAGAUACAGGAACUGCAACACAACUGUUGUCAAGUGUUAAUACAUGCAUAUUGAACCACUACAUCCUGAAUGUGACAAGCACCUGCCAGGAUCUGCUCCAGGACUCACCAGAGCUGUCCCUAAUGAGACUUGAUUUGCUCUUGAGUGUGUCUGUUCCCUGUGGACGCUGGAGAGCCCCCCCACAGAUGAUGCAGAGGAUGCUCUUGUGUCUGGAGCCACGUGUGCUAC